rnacentral:rRNA from 1 species
UGCAGUCGAACGGCAGCACGGGAGCAAUCCUGGUGGCGAGUGGCGAACGGGUGAGUAAUAUAUCGGAACGUGCCCAGUCGUGGGGGAUAACGCAGCGAAAGCUGUGCUAAUACCGCAUACGAUCUAUGGAUGAAAGCGGGGGAUCGCAAGACCUCGCGCGGACGGAGCGGCCGAUGGCAGAUUAGGUAGUUGGUGGGAUAAAAGCUUACCAAGCCGACGAUCUGUAGCUGGUCUGAGAGGACGACCAGCCACACUGGGACUGAGACACGGCCCAGACUCCUACGGGAGGCAGCAGUGGGGAAUUUUGGACAAUGGGGGAAACCCUGAUCCAGCCAUGCCGCGUGCAGGAUGAAGGCCUUCGGGUUGUAAACUGCUUUUGUACGGAACGAAAAGACUCUUUCUAAUACAGAGGGUCCAUGACGGUACCGUAAGAAUAAGCACCGGCUAACUACGUGCCAGCAGCCGCGGUAAUACGUAGGGUGCAAGCGUUAAUCGGAAUUACUGGGCGUAAAGCGUGCGCAGGCGGUUAUAUAAGACAGAUGUGAAAUCCCCGGGCUCAACCUGGGAACUGCAUUAGUGACUGUAUAGCUGGAGUGCGGCAGAGGGGGAUGGAAUUCCGCGUGUAGCAGUGAAAUGCGUAGAUAUGCGGAGGAACACCGAUGGCGA